GCAGUGGUGAUUCAGUGGUAAAAUUCUAACCUUCCAUGUGGGAGACCGGGGUUCGAGUCUCAGCCAAUGCA
rnacentral:tRNA from 1 species